rnacentral:rRNA from 1 species
AGAGUUUGAUCAUGGCUCAGGGUUAACGCUGGCGGCGUGCCUAACACAUGCAAGUCGAACGGUUCUAAGCGCGAGCUUAGGAUAGUGGCGAACGGGUGAGUAAAAGGUAGGAAUCUACCCCUUGGACGGAGAUAGCUACUGGAAACGGUAGGUAAACUUCGAUAAGCCCGAGAGGGGAAAGUGGUGAGACAGCCGAGGGAUGAGCCUACUCUCCAUCAGGUAAUUGGUGAGAUAAAAGCUUACCAAGCCGAUGACGGAUAACCGGUGUGAGAGCAUGAACGGUCACAAGGGCACUGAGAGACGGGCCCUACUCCUACGGGAGGCAGCAGUGGGGAAUCUUGGACAAUGGGCGAAAGCCUGAUCCAGCGACGCCGCGUGGAGGAAGAAGUCCUUCGGGAUGUAAACUUCUGAACUAGCCGAAUAAAAGGCCUGUGGACACACAGGAGAAGAAAGUAGGCUAGGAAAAGUCCCGGCUAACUACGUGCCAGCAGCCGCGGUAAU